rnacentral:misc_RNA from 1 species
GAGAAGAACGUAGUGAAAUGCGAUAAGUAAUGUGAAUUGCAGAAUUCAGUGAAUCAUCGAAUCUUUGAACGCACAUUGCGCCCGCCAGUAUUCUGGCGGGCAUGCCUGUUCGAGCGUCAUUACAACCCUCAGGCCCCCGGGCCUGGCGUUGGGGAUCGGCGGAGCCCCCCGUGGGCACACGCCGUCCCCCAAAUGCAGUGGCGGUCCCGCCGCAGCUUCCAUCGCGUAGUAGCUAACACCUCGCGACUGGAGAGCGGCGCGGCCACGCCGUAAAACACCCAACUCUUCUGAAGUUGACCUCGAAUCAGGUAGGAAUACCCGCUGAACUUAAGCAUAUCAAUAAGCGGAGGA